UACGUAGGGUGCAAGCGUUAUCCGGAAUUAUUGGGCGUAAAGAGCUCGUAGGCGGUUUGUCGCGUCUGCUGUGAAAACCUGGGGCUCAACCCCGGGCCUGCAGCCGAUACGGGCAGACUAGAAUUCGGUAGGGGAGACUGGAAUUCCUGGUGUAGCGGUGAAAUGCGCAGAUAUCAGGAGGAACACCGGUGGCGAAGGCGGGUCUCUGGGCCGAUAUUGACGCUGAGGAGCGAAAGCGUGGGGAGCGAACAGG
rnacentral:rRNA from 1 species